UCAAUUUAAUUUAAGAAGGCUGAGCUUAUAUUGCGCGAGGAGAAAACAAAUAAUUUCUGCUGCAACAACAACAAGCUCAACAAGCUCUAUCUUAUCACCGUGUGGAGGAAGAGAGAGCUUUUGAUUUACGCUUCGAAUAAUAAAGCUAUGAUUUCUAUGACAGUUUAACAACCAAAAUUGAGAUACUUGGUUUUGCUUAGCGCUUCAAUUUAAUAUAUUCUGAGAAAGAAUAACAACCCUGUAGUUUUUGCCAAAAAUUGAGAUCUUGGGGAAUAUAAAAGAAAAAUAGUCAUACUUUGAGGUACAUUUCAUCUCUAGAAGCUCUUAAACCUCUUCGAAGGUCAAUAUAACCUCGAAGUGAAGAUAAAGGAACGAACGCUCGUACUCUUGACUUUACUUAUACGCUACAUAGCAAGGUAUAGCUGGUCGCAGUUCGCUGAUUGUUCUCGAGUUGUUGACCAACAAUACUGUCUGGAUGUGAUUUGAUUCCUCCGCUCACACACACAACCGACAAAGAGAAAGACGAAUGGGACAGCAGUUAGUAUCCUAUUGCCGCAGCAACUUCCUUAGUUCUGGAAGUGAAAUGUGCAAAUGGUUGGCAGUGAAGUGAAUGACAUGAAAGCGCUCGCAGCUAGCGACCAUAACAAAAACAAAUGCAAAAGCAAAACUAUUAAGCAACAAAGUAUAUAUGUGAAUAACUGUUGUCCUGCCAUAUCCUGUAACGUUUGGCCAGCUAUGCAAAUAUUUGCAUUUGCAUUCGCCGUCGCAUUUUCAUUUCCAUUUGCAUUUGCAACUACAUUGUGUGGCACGUAUUUGCGCGCAUUCACAUUCCCGCAGGAUAAUGCUCAUACUCAUAGCACCCAUACAUCACAAUUACGAAAAUGCAUGGAAUAUUUUUUACGAUGCGUUGAACUUUUAAGUGAAUUUUGCGAAUGCAAUGAAAUAUGUGAAAUGCAAUGAUUUCCAUGACUGCCCAGCUUAUGUGAGUGUGUGAGAGUAUGUGUAUGUGGGUGAGUGGGCAAGUGGAUAUAUUUGAGUACCUCGGGUUUAACGUGACGUGGAAGCCGGAUAUAGUCCUUAGUAAAGCUAAGCGAAAAGUAAAUACUGUUAUGUAAAUAAGGAAUGUUAGUCAAAUCUUUCGUGAACUAGAAGACAAAAAUGUUAUUACUAAAAUUUAAUAUUCAUCCAUUCCUCGCCAGAAAAUCGUCGUAGGCGCAAGCGAAUGAAUGGCUAGAUACUACAUAUAGACAGAGAGAGUAAUAGACAGAAGAAGGAGACAGAUCACAGGUAGAAGAAGGGUGAGAGAAGGAUGGAGAGAUAGAGGAGGAAUAAGACAGAUGAGAGAGUAAGAUAAAGUUGCAGAUAAAUAGGGAUAUAGAGGUAGAAUAAGAGAAAAAGAUCAAGAUAAAGAGAAAGUAGCGUAGAAAGAAGAGAGGAAGAGAGGAAAGAGAAACAGACAGGAUGGAGAGAGAAGGAAACAGAUUUAAGGUAAAGGGAGAGUGAGAGUGAGAGAAAGUGGCAGAGAAAGAUGGGUACAUAGAGAGAGAAGAACACAGGUUAUAAAGAGGAAAGAGGAAAAAGAGCGUAAAAGAAAGGCAGAGGAACAGAAAGAUAGAGAGAGAAGGAAACAAAUUAGAGCUAAAGGGUGAGUGUGUGAAAGUGGCACAGAAAGAUAUAGACAUAGAGAGAGAAUGAAAGAGAAGGAAACAGGUAAUGGGGAGAGAAAUAAUUAGAACAAGAUAGAUUGAUAGCAAGAUAGAGGGAGAGUGAGUGAGAAAUAGAGCGAAGGAGGCAUAGAAAUAGUGGAGAGAGAGGUUAACUCAGAAACUAACCACUACUUGACAUCCCCAGAUCAAAGUAUCAUCUCCUGACCAAUUUGAAUGAAAUUGUUGUUGUAGUAUUAAACAUUUUAAUUUCAAGUUCUACGUUUUGACCAGAUAUUACAGAGAAUCUUUGUUGUGCAUCACAUCCACGAGGAGAGAGGAUACUAGAAAGCUACUGCCGCCCAUGAAGCAGUUAUUUUCAGAUGACAGCAUCAAAUUAGUGUACACCCUGCUAUUAGUGGUUGCCAAACAAAAAUUCUGCAGAUGUUUUUGGUCGGAUAUGAUCUUUGUUGCAUUUUCGAAAACUCGACUAUCAUGGAAUCAUGGAAAUGAACGAGUCUAUAAAACCUUAAAGCAAGAACUUGAUCUUCAAGCCUUCUAAAAGUUCCAUACCAGCUAUAAAAUUACAGAAGAUGGGACUGGAUAUUAGAUCUGACUUUUCGUUGCGUUUCCUUAGAAUCUUAUUAGGGUGUCGCGCGCGUAUCUCGUUGAGGGAUGAUCUCACCUUGCAAAAAGUCAGCGAAGGUUUAUCACUUAUUGCCUUAAGUUUUGGGUCAUCCCUUCUAAGUUUUUAUAAGCAGUGAACUUAACAGGUGUGUAUGUUAUUAAUUAGGCCUACGAGAUCACAAUGGAAAUUCAAACGCGCCGUGAGGCUAAUCGACUUUGAAUGUUUCAAAAACAUGGUUGCCGGUAGUACCAACUUCUGGAAGAAGGAUAUGCUUAUAUACUAGUAGUAUACUUAUAUACUACUAAAGAGAUGAACCCCAAAUAUUUUGUGCUAGAUAUUACGUUUUGAGCUGGAUAUACCCGCCGUCCAAAAACACGAACAUUAAACAUUACAACCGAGCAUUUUUGUUGUGCGCAUAAAUGCCGAUUUAAUAGUUCCGAAAUUAUUUAAUGUAGCGCAGGAAGUAGUGUUUCAAACUGCGUAAGCUGCAUAAUAAAAACUUUGUUGAAUAUCUUGAAGAACUUAGUCA